rnacentral:rRNA from 1 species
AUUGAACGCUGGCGGCAGGCCUAACACAUGCAAGUCGAGCGAGCGGCGGACGGGUGAGUAAUGUCUGGGAAACUGUCCGAUGGAGGGGGAUAACAACAGGAAACGGUAGCUAAUAUCGCACAUCAUCAGAUGUGUCCAGAUGGGAUUAGCUAGUAGGUGGGGUAACGGCUCACCUAGGCGACGAUCCCUAGCUGGUCUGAGAGGAUGACCAGCCACACUGGAACUGAGACACGGUCCAGACUCCUACGGGAGGCAGCAGUGGGGAAUAUUGCACAAUGGGCGCAAGCCUGAUGCAGCCAUGCCGCGUGUAUGAAGAAGGCCUUCGGGUUGUAAAGUACUUUCAGCGAGGAGGCGUUACCCGCAGAAGAAGCACCGGCUAACUCCGUGCCAGCAGCCGCGGUAAUUC